UACAGAGGUCUCAAGCGUUUGUUCGGAUUCAUUGGGCGUAAAGGGUGCGUAGGCGGCGCGGUAAGUCGGGUGUGAAAUCUCGGAGCUUAACUCCGAAACUGCAUUCGAUACUGCCGUGCUUGAGGACUGGAGAGGAGACUGGAAUUUACGGUGUAGCGGUGAAAUGCGUAGAUAUCGUAAGGAAGACCAGUGGCGAAGGCGGCUCACUGGAUCGGUACUGACGCUGGAGGUGCGAAAGCGUGGGGAGCAAACAGG
rnacentral:rRNA from 1 species